GGCAAGCGGGAGGAGCCGGCGGCUCACGGGCGUCCAGAAGUGCCCAGCUGUACAGAAAAAGGCACAGGUGGCCUACACUGAGGCUCGGCACUCCCCCCGGGAGUGGGCGCAGGAAGCAGGAGGGCGUUGGGAGACCGCCCGCCUGCACCUGUUUCUCGUCUGGAUGGCGCCCGCACAGCAUGUCCACUCGGACACAUGCAGCCAACGGACACUCGCUUCACUCUUACGCUCCUCAGGACCGCACCCACUCAGGAGGCUGCCACUCCACCUGUGAAAUGAAGAAGCACAUGUGCAAGGACCUGAAGCACAUUGAGGAGUAGGGAAGACCUCAGCAUCUGCACUUGUGCAUAUGAAACACCCCAACAAGCAAGACUGGACCAAGGGCCAAGUGAAAGGGCUUGCUCUGCUUAGCCCAGUGUCAAUACCCCCUCGUCCAGAUCUGUUGCAGGCUUUCUUCCCAACCUCUUCCAGAGGCCUGUUGGGAUGACAGGCCAGGAGGGAAAGAAGAUUUCUUCUAUCUACGGAGUUAGAAAAACAAGUCUCUUUUGAAAGAAAGUUUCAAACUCAACAUGGGUGCACACUACCAAAGUAGGACAGAUGGGGACUGUCAAGGGGAGCGGCCUCUCAGUGACCAUGAGGCCAAGGGAGACUUCAGGUGGAGGGUGCGGUCAUGGGGAGGUACCAGGGCAGCAGGACCCUGACUUCAGACAGCUUCCCCGAGGGAAGCCCUGAAGUCUGGGUGAAAUCACUCAGGUCUGACUGGGACUGUCAGAAGGAGAGGUGGCAAAGUGUCCUAAGACUGUGUGUCCUCAGACAUGAUUUGUCCCCUACACUCACAGUCACAAGCAAUCGCUGGGACGGGCUCAGUGUGCCUUGAACACAUUCCUGCAGAUGAACAUGGUUUUGUGUAGACAAACAAGUAACCCCUGUUGCCUGUACCCAUUCAUUCCUGGGGCACAAAGACCAAGAGUUUGGACAGCAGAGGACCCCCCUGUCAUGUAAAUCUCUUUGCUUCCUGAUUAGGACAGUACAAAGGCAAUGUGCUCCCACUGCCGCACUGCUGGGUGUUCACAACACACGAUGCCCAUCACAGGAGGCAAGCCAUGUCUCCCCUCCCUCCCACGCCUCCUGAGAGAGGUCUCUGGGUGCCUCCAGUUCCCACCACCAGGGUUACUGACUG